rnacentral:rRNA from 1 species
GACAGAGGUGCCGAGCGUUAGGCGGAAUCACUGGGCUUAAAGCGUGUGUAGGCGGUCCGUUAAGUAUCUUGUGAAAUCCCCCGGCUCAACCGGGGAAUGGCUGGAUAUACUGGCGGUCUUGAGCGAUCUAGGGGCAGAUGGAACAAGUGGUGGAGCGGUGAAAUGCGUAGAUAUCACUUGGAACGCCAAAGGUGAAAACAGUCUGCUGGGGAUCUGCUGACGCUGAGACACGAAAGCCAGGGGAGCGAACGGG